GAGGGUAGAGCUCAGUGGUGGAGUGUGUGCUUACCAUGCACGAGGUCCUGGGUUCCAUUCUCAGGACCUCCA
rnacentral:tRNA from 1 species